UCACAGUGGUUUAGUAGGUAUUCACCUUUUCCCAGAAAGCAGGUGUUAUUGAUAAAACUUAUAGCGAAUUUGAAAGUGCAAAAUUAUAAACAAUAGUUAUUUACUGUAUAAACUAAACUACAUAUAAUAAAAUCAAUUAUUCUGACUUUUAGUUCGAUGUGUAUUCAAUAAUAUAAUAAUUUACGAAUUACGAUUGUGUGCAAAAAAAAGUUUUGUGAGAAAAUUGUAUAGAAAAAAAAAACUAAAAUUUGGUCGAAUUAUUGAAGUGUAAACCGUGACAAAAUUACAAAUAAAAUUUUUUCCGUGUUAUCAAUUACACAGUGCUGUGGUACCUACUAAAAACAAACUAAAGUGUUUCUCGAAAAUGACUUGAAUAAACUCUUGCAUGAGUUUCUUUGGAUUUUAUUAUCGUGCCUAGAAUAUAAACAACAUGACUACAGAUAGAUUUCACAAAGCAGCCAAAGAUGGCCUCCUGGAAGUCCUCCGGGAGGCGACGAGGAAGGAGUGCAACAACAAGGAUGAAUCAGGGAUGACCCCCACGUUAUGGGCUGCCUUCGAGGGACACAUUGAAGCUUUGAGAUUGUUAUGUGGAAGGGGAGGUGAGCCCGACAAAGCUGAUUAUUUCGGCAACACCGCCCUACAUCUCUCAGCGGCUAGAGGUCACAAGGAAUGCGUGACCUUCCUCAUAAACUUCGGUGCCAACAUGUAUGCGAUGGACGUUGAUGGGCAUUCCGCUCAAGAACUAGCUGCAAUCAAUGGCAGAGACGAUAUACUGCGCUUCCUAGACCAAGCCACGGGGAAACUAGAGAAUAAUGAUAAAAAAAAAGCCAAAUCACUCAAGGAAAAAGCGAAAAAAGACCACGAGAAAUUACAAAAACAAUACACCAAGAGACAGAGUAAAGCAGAGGUUAUGGCAGAAAAGGAGUUGAAGAAAUUGACGAAGGAAUGGGAUCACAGCUACAAUGAGGAGGUGUCGACGAUGCCGCAUAGACCCAGCAACGUUCUGAUGGCUUUGAAGCAAAAGAUGACACGAUCGACCAGUCAAGGGAAUCUUUUGGAAGAGCAGCCUAGACCGACGUACAGCGCUUUGGUUGGCACUGUAAACUCGGGCGCGCGAGGCCGAGGCGCGGUCUACAAGAAAGCUCUAGCGAGCAAAAUGCGCAACGGCACCUUAGGGAAGACCACAGCUUCUAAGGAUGAUUUUAAGGUUGGUGAGGUAGAAACCACAGGGCGUAGAUCGAUAACCUCGCUGAGCGGUCUGCGUCGCGACUCAGAAGUGAUGUACGUGGGAACAUUCGGCGCGGGCCCGCAGCAACGCGGCGCCGUCGCUGAUGUCUUCACCGAAGCCGAGCCGAGGAAACCCGCGCUUACAAGGUCGGCGAGUCAGCCGGACUUCAUGGCGGCGCAGAACGAAGACAGCGGCAUCGGACAAGAGGUGUUACUGCAGGAACCCGCUAGCAUAUUCGACAGGCCCGGAUUUGGGAGCGUUGCUUUUAGACGAUCCAUAACAGCCACCCUGAGCGCAUUGCCGGCCAGCGAAGAGUUAUCAAUAGGCUCAGCGGGCUCUUUAGCCGCCAGGCACGCAUACCAGCCCGCCGAGUGGAACUCCACACAAUCUGGAAGUUCAACGUUAACUUCAGAUGAAGAAGGCGAAGCGGACGAAACAGGCUACUCCUCCCUCGAACGAUUCCUCACAGCCUGGGGCCUCGCGCAAUACACGCAGAAGUUCAAAGACGAACAGAUCGACCUGGACGCGCUGAUGCUCCUCACUGAAAGCGAUAUGAAGUCCCUUGGCUUGCCCCUCGGCCCGUAUAGGAAGCUGGUGACUGCUGUGCAAGAGAGAAAACAUGCGUUGUCACAUCCUGGACCUAUGAUCGAUACUGCUAUAUAGAUAGGUAGUUUUGCCAGAAAUCAUACAAGAAGUUUCCCCAGUUUUCGCCAUGGAAACCUAGUUCGGUUCUCAUUUGAGUAUUAAUCAAAUAAAGCCAAUGAAAUUUUGUAGACACGUUAUUGUAACGACGAUUUUGCUAACCAAACUUAGCGCGCUACUAAAAAGAAGCAUUCGGAUUUUAGCGAUCGUGACUUCAUUCUGCUCGUCGAUUGGGCAUUAUUGCAUCAAUGAUUGCUACAAUCUCAAUUGUUGUGAUUGGCUGAAUUGAUGAUAUUUUUACUGCAAAUGCAUUUUAACCAAUGAUGAGUGUUCAAUCAGAGGUGUUUGCGAUUGUCUAUAUCUGUCAUUUUCAAACUUAAUUUUCCUUAAAAUCGUCAACCUAUGACCUACCUACUACCUACCUACUGCUAAGGUUGGUAGUUUUAUCAGAAAUUAUAUUAGAAGUUUCCCCAGUUUUCUCCAUGGAAACGUAGUUGGUUUCUCAUUUGAAUAUAAACAAUCGAACUCAAUGAAAUGUUCACAUGUUUUAGAAACAACGACCCUAUUAUGAAAACAUCCCUCAAUUAUUCAAUAAUAUGUUUUCUUUUGUACCUACUUUACUGACUAUUUAUGUGAACUAGUUGUUAUUCUAGAAGUAAUUAAAAGUACUUAUUUACUUAUAUUUUUGUACCAAAACAUAAAGCUUUGAUUAUUAUUACCGGGUACAGAUUAUGAUUUAAACUUUUGAUGAAACAUUGAAUUAUUGUAUUUAUUCAAAGAAUUGCUAUUUUGUGUGCGUGUGCGUUUUUGAAGUGUUUAUAAAAAGUAAUUUAAGUAUUGAUUCAGUAAUAUAAAGUCAUUUUAAUAGUAAGCCUAUUGUGAUGUGAUGUUGCAAGCAAUCCAUUCCAUCCAUACGCCAUAUUAAAUAUUUUUAUAGAGACAAAUAUACAUUUUUUAAAUAUUUUUAA